rnacentral:rRNA from 1 species
UACGUAGGGCGCAAGCGUUGUCCGGAAUUAUUGGGCGUAAAGAGCUCGUAGGCGGCGCGUCGCGUCUGCCGUGAAAGCCCAUGGCUUAACUGUGGGUCUGCGGUGGAUACGGGCAGGCUGGAGGCUGGUAGGGGCAAGCGGAAUUCCUGGUGUAGCGGUGAAAUGCGCAGAUAUCAGGAGGAACACCGGUGGCGAAGGCGGCUUGCUGGGCCAGUUCUGACGCUGAGGAGCGAAAGCGUGGGGAGCGAACAGG